UACGUAGGUGGCGAGCGUUGUCCGGAAUUACUGGGUGUAAAGGGAGCGUAGGCGGGAAUGCAAGUUGAAUGUCAAAUCUAUCGGCUCAACCGAUAGCCGCGUUCAAAACUGCAUUUCUUGAGUGAAGUAGAGGUUGGCGGAAUUCCUAGUGUAGCGGUGAAAUGCGUAGAUAUUAGGAGGAACACCAGUGGCGAAGGCGGCCAACUGGGCUUUAACUGACGCUGAGGCUCGAAAGCGUGGGGAGCAAACA
rnacentral:rRNA from 1 species